rnacentral:rRNA from 1 species
UACGUAGGGUGCGAGCGUUAAUCGGAAUUACUGGGCGUAAAGCGUGCGUAGGCGGUUCGCUGUGUCCGAUGUGAAAGCCCCGGGCUUAACCUGGGAAUGGCAUUGGAAACUGGCGGGCUUGAGUGCGGCAGGAGGGGGGUGGAAGUCCGCGGUGUAGCAGUGAAAUGCGUAGAGAUGCGGAGGAACACCGAUGGCGGAAGGCAGCCCCCUGGGUCGACACUGACGCUCAGGCACGAAAGCGUGGGGAGCAAACAGGG